rnacentral:miRNA from 1 species
UUAAGCCCAGCUCCAAAGCCACUGAAGUCAAUGGGAGACUCUCUAUUGAUUUCAGUGGGCUUUGGAUCAGCUCC